rnacentral:rRNA from 1 species
AACGAACGCUGGCGGCAUGCCUAACACAUGCAAGUCGAACGAGACCUUCGGGUCUAGUGGCGCACGGGUGCGUAACGCGUGGGAACCUGCCCUUAGGUUCGGAAUAACUCCCCGAAAGGGGUGCUAAUACCGGAUAAUGUCUUCGGACCAAAGAUUUAUCGCCUUUGGAUGGGCCCGCGUGGGAUUAGCUAGUUGGUAGGGUAAAAGCCUACCAAGGCGACGAUCCAUAGCUGGUCAGAGAGGAUGAUCAGCCACACUGGGACUGAGACACGGCCCAGACUCCUACGGGAGGCAGCAGUGGGGAAUAUUGGACAAUGGGCGAAAGCCUGAUCCAGCAAUGCCGCGUGAGUGAUGAAGGCCUUAGGGUUGUAAAGCUCUUUUACCCGGGAUGAUAAUGACAGUACCGGGAGAAUAAGCUCCGGCUAACUCCGUG